UACAGAGGGUGCAAGCGUUAAUCGGAAUUACUGGGCGUAAAGCGCGCGUAGGUGGUUUGUUAAGUUGGAUGUGAAAAUCCCCCGGGCGUCAACCUGGGAACGUGCGUUUGUUGACUGCAAGGCUAGAGUAUGGCAGAGGGGGGUGGGAAUUCCACGUGUAGCAGUGAAAUGCGUAGAUAUGCGGAGGAACACCAAUGGCGAAGGCAAUCCCCU
rnacentral:rRNA from 1 species